rnacentral:hammerhead_ribozyme from 1 species
AUCCAGCUAAUAAAUCCCAAAUAGAACGAAACGCGCGUCCUGAAU